ACCAUUUGAAAAUUUGUAGCCUAUAUUUAGGCGGAAAAUAUUUGUUUGUUGAUGCUUUCUCUGAACCAAAAUCUUUUUUUGAAAAAAUAAAACCAUUAAAGCAUGCAAAAAUGUGUUACUUUUAAAGCAAAAAUUGGUUUGUGGGUGAUAACUUAUCCCACUUGGAGGAACCUUUGCAAAUGUGUAAAUUUAUGUGUUUUGCAAAGGUUUCUCUAAGUGGGUUAAAUUAUGACUCACAAGCCAAUUUUUCUUUCAAAAGUAACACAUUUUUGCGUGCUUUAAUGGUUUUACUUUUUCAAAAAAA